GUGUUUCUCUACGCAUCAGGAACACUAAAGGGUACAAAGAUAUGAAGAGUUAACUAUAAUUGGUGUAGUAUGAAGAUGUUUGUAACUACAUUACGUCGCAGUGCCAGACAUGUUAUAUGGCAAUGACAGAGGAUCAGUUAUCUAUUAUGUUAUUUUUGAGCUUGCUUUUGCCGGAGUAGAAAUGAGGCAUGGUGAUUAUGGACAUUGUUAUUGGAUUUUAAAUCACCAUAUGUGGAAAGGAUGCCACAUGGGUAGUCAUGGAUAGACUUACCAAGUCAGCCCAUUUCCUAAGUAAUUAAGAAGACAAUCAGAGCUAAUUAAUUGGAGCAGACCUACAUUAUUGAGUUUGGGAAGUUUCAUUGAUGUCAACAUUGUAUCGGAUUGGGAAUCGAAGUUCACAUCUACAUUUCAGAGAGCCUUUCGGAAGGCACUUGGGACAAUACAUCUUAUCACCCGUUGACAUAUUGUCAGUCAGAGAGGACUACUCAGAACUUAAAGGAUAUGUUCAGAGAUUGCGUGGGAUGGAAUUCCAGAAAGCAUCUACCUAUACCAGAGUUUGCCUAUAUCGACAGCAAUCUUUUGAGUAUUAAAAAAAAAAAAAUUAUUAUAUGAGGAUUAUUUAUGGUAGACCUUAUAGUAUACCACUUUGUUGGACCAAAGUGGGGGAGCAAUAUGAGUUAGAACUAUUAAUGGUUCAAGAGACAGUAGAGCAAAGGACAUACUCAAGGAUUGGCUUUCGGAAGCCCAUGACGUCAAAAGAUUUAUGUAGCUAAGCGCCGUAAGGAUUUGGAGCUACAUAUGGACACCUAAUAUACCUGAAAUUAAGAACAUUUCAGGAGGAGCCUAAGACUCAGAAGAUAAAGGAGCUUAAACCGAGACACAUGGAAUUGUAUCCUGCACUAGAGUGGAUUGGAUUAGUUGCUUGCAGUUACUUUAUCAGCAGUAUAUCAGCCUUCUAGGACUUGGUUCAUAUGACAGCAUUGCAAAAGUUGAGAAGGCGCUAUAAUUAUUUUGCAGUUGACGUCAAGUGAGUUCAUAAAGAUUUUAUGGACCUUUUCAUCUAUUGAAGAUUUUGGAUCAUCAAGAGAAAACAGUUCGGGGAAUGUCGACCGUGCUUGUCCAAGUUCGUUGGGAGGGAGAUAAGACUCAGGAGGAGACCUGAAAGGCCGAGCGAGGAUUAGUAUUCGAGGUUUUGGAGGUUUUGCUACGAUAACAUUGGGCAUGUCAGCUUAUGACUUGAAUUCGGGGACGAAUUCCUUAUAAGUGGGGGAGAAUUGAAAUGACCCACCACCUCCACUAUCCCCACCACUUCCACCAUCUCCACCAUCUCUACCAUCCCCAACUUCUUUAAAGAGAAAGAGAGAGAGAGAGAGAGAGAGAGAGAGAGAGAGAGAGAGAGAGAGAGAGAGAGAGAGAGAGAGAGAGAGAGAGAGAGAGAGAGAGAGAGAGAGAGAGAGAGAGAGAGAGAGAGAGAAAGAGAGAGAAAGCUCACCUGAUCUCGUCGCCGGAGCAACCGUGCGCCGUGACCACGUUCAGCUUGCCACCACCGAUCAACACCUUAGACCAUCAUCGUGUUCCUCUCGUCGAGACGAAGCCGUAGACACCAACCACGCCUCAAACGGAGCCCGGACGAAGCCGCAUGCGCCUCCCGAAGAUUCGCCUCGGCGCGCGCGUGAAACACACGCGCCGCCGCCGUCCGCCGGACCACCGUCCUCCGCCGCAGCUCCGCCGUCGCCGCCGGCCAACUUACCGAUUUGGAGUCCAUUUGAGCAGCUGGAGUUCAUAUAUACCACUUCUCUUCAUUGCUAAGGUGAGGGCUACUCCGUUAAAUCCCGAGCUAGUUUAGUACUACCAUUAUGGAAAGUUUAGUUUCGAAACAUGGAUCCGUCUCUUUGAAUCGAGUCUGUUUGAGAGUCUUGGUUGUUCGUUAUUGAUAUUGAUUGUUAAACCGGAAAUAGGAUAAUAGAGGAUUCAACGGUUGAUUGAAAUGAUUGCUGCUAAAAACUGUUAAUUAUAUAUAUGUAUAUAUGUUAGUCCAUGUGUUGAGAUUGCGGGGUGCAUAGGUAUCUGCCUAGGCCGCGGAAUUUGCGGGUACAGAGACGUUUGUACUAGGCCGUGUGAUUGCGGGGGCACAUGACGUCUGUGCUAGCUACGCAUUGUUUGAGAGAUCGCGGGGUACGGAGAUAUCUGUACUAGGCCGUGUGUUUAGCGGGGUACAGAGACGUAUGUACUAGGCCGCUUGUUUGUGGAGAUUGCGGGGGUACAGAGUGGACUACUGUACUUACGACGCUGUAGAGUUAUAUAUAUAUAUUUAUAUCCUUAUGAGGAAAUGCGGUAUGUUAUUAUCGCAUUGGUUGUAGCGUGUCUAGUCCACUAGACAUAUGUGAUUGUUCUGUGUGGUGUAAUAGACACCGUGUUUGCUUCAUGCUAGAGCUAGGCCUACAUAGUUGUAGUGCUAUGAACUGAGUCAGUGGUUUGCGGUUUAGCAUCCCACACCUCACUGGGCGAUUCCCCUGUCGCUCACCCCUCCUUCUUUCCCCCUUUCAGGUGAGACCGACGAGCAGGAGUGAUUAUACCGGACCGGUGCUUUUGGGCUUUUACUAGUAUUGGGCUUUUGGGCUUCUAUCGUUUUAUCUCUUUUAUCGUUAUCGGGCUUCUAAGCCUUUGGGCUUUUAUCGUUUAUGUUAUUUCGUAUUUCGGACUCUCGGUUUAUGUCGUACUUUAUGUUUCAGAUUUUAUUUUAUGUUAUGGAAUUCAAACGUGGAUGUUGACUUUCAAAUAUUUAUAUAUGGAUAUUUCAGAUAUUUGUA